rnacentral:rRNA from 1 species
UGGGGAAUAUUGGACAAUGGGCGAAAGCCUGAUCCAGCCAUGCCGCGUGUGUGAAGAAGGUCUUCGGAUUGUAAAGCACUUUAAGUUGGGAGGAAGGGCAUUAACCUAAUACGUUAGUGUUUUGACGUUACCGACAGAAUAAGCACCGGCUAACUCUGUGCCAGCAGCCGCGGUAAUACAGAGGGGGCAAGCGUUAAUCGGAAUUACUGGGCGUAAAGCGCGCGUAGGUGGUUUGUUAAGUUGGAUGUGAAAUCCCCGGGCUCAACCUGGGAACUGCAUUCAAAACUGACUGACUAGAGUAUGGUAGAGGGUGGUUGAAUUUCCUGUGUAGCGGUGAAAUGCGUAGAUAUAGGAAGGAACACCAGUGGCGAAGGCGACCACCUGGACUAAUACUGACACUGAGGUGCGAAAGCGUGGGGAGCAAACA